AAGAGCACAAGAAUUUCUAGCCAGAAAAAGGAUGAAGAGCUUGUCGCAACAAAACAAAAAGAAUAAUCACUAGUUAUAGAGUAUUUAUUUUACGAAACUACUACAUCCAUGAAUUCAUUUGGACAGCUUCCAAUGAUCUAUCUUCUCUAGUGUACAUUUACCUUCCUGAAAAGUUUCAAUUCCUUUUAUAAUCGUCCAAACAUGGCGUAUAAUUGCUCUCGUAAAUCUUGCCACAAGCUCUCUUUUGAGCUAUUUCCAGUUUCUUCUUUUAAUGGUUUCCAACGAAUGUUUGAUUACACCCUCUUGGAUGCGAACACCCGACUGCUUUGUGCACUUACGGCUCGCAAAGAUGAGAAGACGAGUCUCACUAACCUGCCUAUUGCAUAAGUAACAAUUAAUAUCAUCAACAUGGACAUUUGUGAACCAGCAUAUGUAAGUCAUGAUAACAUAACCAUGAAAUAACCUCUCAUUUAUAUCCAAUAAUGAUUUUAACUCUUGAUUAUAAGCCUACUACAAUUGACACUCUAUAGGAGCCCUAAAGUGGCACGUCAUGAUUUUUGAGACUAAAAUGACUAAACUAUGAACAUGAGCCUAAAGGGAUAAACUAUAAACAUGAGCCUAAAGGGAUAAACUAUAAACAUGAGCCUAAUGAGGGUAACACUUUGAUUAUAAAUAAUUAAGACAAUGUCAUGAGCCUAAGGGAGUUAGUUAGCUAACCGUGAAGGCAAAGGUUAAACGACAAAUGCCUAAAACUAUGUUUGCCGACAUAGGAUAGAGAUUAUUCCGCAAGUCAGAUAACUCUUUUUUUCAUGUGUCCCGAAAAUGGGCUAACCAUGGAUACUUGCUAGCAAAUUAUGCCAUGUCAUGUCCAAUACCCGGCAAGGUAUAGGAUGACUUAGCUGAUCAGACCGACAUCAGACUCCACUCACGUGGUGGUUUAUGAUGGUUCAUUACUUUCUCCCACAAAUAAUCAAAGGAAUUAAAUUUACCUAACUUUUCCAAUUAUGGAUUUAGUAUAUAUUCUUCCUCCUUUCUAGUUGUCUUCACUUAAAUUUGAAUAUUAUUGUCAUUUAUCAUCUCUUGUUAUACUAUCCUCAAAAAUGGUUUUACAUACCAAUACAUACCACGUAUUGACCGUCUUUGGCGCUACAUCGUUUCAUGAUAUAAGUUUGUGGUCAAGCACCUCAUUAGGAUCUCUAUCUUCUGUCAUUGGUGAGCCUCCUACCAGGAGGCUGGACGGGAUAUGAUGACUUCUUUAUAUUUUUUUUUCUUUUAGUAUUGGUACUUAUUAGAGGCUUCACAGGCUGGUAUAGUUGUCCAACAAACUUUAUAAUUUUCAAUCUUUAUUUACUAUAGCAAUUAGUAUUGUUGGACACUAUGCAGGGGCGGAGCUACCCUUUGCUGAGGGGGUUCAUCCGAACUCCCUUUGGCGAAAAAUUAUGCUAUAUAUGUAUGGUUAAAAUUAUUUUUUAUGUAUAUAUAUUAGAUGUUGAACCCCCUUCGGUUAGUUCAUAUGUUCACUUAUGAACCCCUUAGUAAAUAUCCUGGCUCCGCCACUGAUACUAUGCAGUGCUAAUAAACUUUGGUGAAGUUUUAUCCCUUGAGUAAAUUUUAAAUAAGUUUUAUAUUAUUUCUGCUUUAUUAAUUUGUAUUAGAAGUAUGCUCGAGUGAUAUGUCAGAACGUUUAGCUCGUACUAGCAAUAGUAUCGGGUGCGUGCCAUGUCUAGGGCCUAACUUGGGUGGUGACAUGUACUUCUUUCAAAGAAUAAAUAAAUAAAUGAACAGUAAAAGCCACUGAGAAUCGAUAUUAAGAUUGAUGAAAAAAUUCCAAGCUCACAGUGAGAAUACAAUGGUAGAUCCUUUCCUAUUGCAAUAACAAUACAGUCAAUUGGAUUGAAGGUUGGAGUGGUAGCAGAAGUGGAAAGGUAAAAAGCGGAAUAAAUAUUUCCACUAGAAGUAAAUCAAGAAAUUCCCUUAGUUGAGGAAAAUACAACUUAAGAUGACAUAAUUAACAACCUUUGAGAGAAUACAACAUGCAAACAUAUUUUCACAAUUAAUACAAGUUCUCAGAUUUUAAAAUAAUUCAUUUUUGCCACAAGAUGUUAGAAGAACCAGAUCUGACUUUACAACCUUUGAGAGAACACUAGCAACUUCUAUUAAUAGAGAAAGACCAGCCCAUAGACAAUCAUUGAUAACCAAAACAUCAUAAUGGUUACCUAAUCUGCUGCUUAGAUUUUGACAAAUAUGUGGCAGAUUAAUUUAUGCCAAAUUAGAAGGGUAAAGGAUAUUAAGCAGCAGUCAAGCUCUCUAACAAGAAUUGUUUUGGUUCCUAACUACCAAACUAGUUCUCAUUGUAAGACCAGCAUCUGUCUGUCCCUAACUUGCGAGAUAAAUGUAAGUGACGUGUAAAACAUUCCUUGGCACAAUCAACUAUUAGGUGCACAUUAAGCAUUUGGUAAAGCUUUAAGUAAAGCUGCCAAAUGAAACCUUUGAUUAACUUGGAUUAGCUUUAUAGCAAAGUUUCGACUUAGCAAUUACAGAUGCAUCAAAUGACAAACUCAAAUUAAACAAGAAAAACAAUCCAAGAAAGCUUGUAGUCUUAAGUAUGUUUUUUAAUCAAACAACAAUAAAAGAAGCAAUAUAGUGGUAUUACAACAUUAGAGGAUCAAAUGAAAGGUAAAAGAAACAAAAAGCAAGGAUUAUCAUGUAUAAAGUUCUGAUUUUUUUACUAUUUGCUAUUUUUCAAAAAUGAAGAAUUUCGUACAGACUAGAGGACUACUUAGCAGAAAAUAAGCAUGCUCAUCUACCAUCACCACUGAAAUAGUAAGGUUUUUCUCCUACAAGGUUUGAGUUCAUGACAUACCCCUGACCUGGGUGUCACCCAAUCAACUUCUUACACUAGAUGAAAGCCAUGGGGGAACUAAUUUGAUUAAUAAUUAUUAACAAACCAACGACUUACUAUGGUAAAGAUCCUACUACUUGUGAUGGAAAUUAUAUAACAACAAACGAUGAGAAAGUAAAAUCAAACAAAAGCAAGAGAUAUAAUAAGUUACAUCAUUACCUUGGUCGUUAGUAUGGUGAGGCAACAGAAGGCCUUUUCUAUUUCCUACAGAAUCUAUGUUAAUAAGUAAAGUCUCACGCUUAACAUAAAAAUUUCCUAAAACUUUCAUAAGGUGGUUCAUUCGUCAUUCCAGAAGACCAGAUACGUGUGGCAUAGACUAUCGAGACAGGUAAUGAUUCUACGAUACAAAAGCAGCAAUUAUUACAAUGUCACUGUAACCUCUGUAACCAAAUUUGAAAAAAACGUUGUAAAGUUAUAAUUUCAAAAUUUUACGGGAUAAAAUAUUGAAUUAAAAGACGAGACGUAUUAUCUGAGGAUUUUUCAACUGGAGAACAAAAUCUGUUCGUGUAUAUGUUAUGACUGCUAUUUUUGAAGGAGCAAUUGCCUCCUGAAUCCAUGAAACCAAAGGUACAAGUGUAUUGAUAAGACAUAAUUCAAGACUUAGUCUAUCAAAGUUUAAUUUCAUAAACAAAUACCCUUCAAUUCAAUUUUGGCAAAGUGAGAUAAGCUACAAGUCAAAAUUAAUCCUUUCUAGCUUUCCUGUAUAAUUAUCCUCUCCAGAAACAUCAAAAUUCAAUUCAAAAUGGUUUCACCCAACUUCAAAAAUGUACAACACUUCCGAUACACAAUGUUCCCAGAAAGCUUAUCUUUCUCAAUAAAAAUAGAUAUGCAAUAACAAAAGUUUGAGUAUUUUCUACCUAAUAAACUAAUAAAAUCUAUUCAAGCAAAACCCUUCUGUGUGAUGAAGCUUUAGAGAAAUUUCUAUAACUGAAACUGACUAGAACUGAAAUUAGUGCAAAAUUUCCAACUGAAACAUCAUAGAUUGUUCGUACAAAGAAGAAAUUAGGGCAAAAUUGUGAGCUAUAUUGAAAGAAGAAAUAUGUAGGCUAUGUUGAAUCGUUAGUUAUUCAACUAAUUGGAACCUGUCUUCAAGCUUCACAAUCUUUUUGGUACGGAGUUUGAUGUUACCUUCACCAUCAAUUAGGAUUUUAUUGGAUUAGAGUUUAGUAAAGAUAGACGAAAUAGGUACCUGACCUGAUCUUACGAGGGAUUUCGGUAAGGAGCUGCUUACAGGGAUUAGAGCUGAGUAUAUAUAUAUAUAUUUUUUAUUUUUGGUUAAAGAGCUGAGUAUAUUUGUGAAAUAAGAGCUGGGUAUAUCUGUUUUAUGGUCUCAUUUUUUUUAUUUAGCUAAUUAAAAAUUGGGGGGGGGGG
rnacentral:lncRNA from 1 species